rnacentral:lncRNA from 1 species
AGAAAAUGUAAAUUAUUAUGUGAUAUGUGCCUAAUGUUUUCUUAGCACAGUACAUAGAUCAAUGUUGUUUAAGAUGUCAACAUUGAAAAAGUAUAUAUAAAAACUUAUUUUAAAAAGAAAAUACUUUUGUGUAGUUGUUUAGAUAUUUAUAUUAGAUGAAGCUGCAUUCUUAGUGCUGCUGAGACUAUAAUGUACUUAAUUAUCAGACACAGGAAAGAGCUAUCAGGAUUUUGUUUUGUAAAAUCUGUUUUCAGAUGCAGAGAUCAACUUAUUUUUUAGUGUGCUACCUGAGAUUGAGUAGUGUAUUUGUCAGGGGUUUAGAUGCAGCAAGGUGGCUUUUGGGGAAUGAGUGGUGAAACAGGUGUGAGCAGUAAAACAUCUAUAUCUUACUUUUUUACCUUAAGUUUCCUGACUGAAAAAUGUUUGAAAAUUUAUAUCAAACUACUGAGUAUUUUUCUUCUCGGCAUUUAUGAUUUCUUUGUUUUAUAAAAUGCAUUUAAUGAAAUGUGCCUAUGACUCCUCAACUUAGAAGCCAACCAUGUUUGCAUACCAUGUUUGGUCUGACUUCAGAGGUUCUUCAGUAGAAAUGCCGUCACUUUAUUGAGGUCGUUCUGAACCCCUGUAUAUUUUUUAAACAUGUAAGAAAGAUUUAAAAUAAAUAAUAAAAUAGUAUUCUAUAUAUCAAAAUCAGACUUUGCUUCAGUUUAAUGAAACACUGAAUAGGAACAGAAGUUUGCUUGUUUGGAAAGCAAAUUCUGUUUUACACUUUUAUAGCUGGGGUUUAUUUUUGUCUUUGCCAGUGGUAUCUUGGAUAACUUGGAGCGCACCUUGUAAAUUCAGACCUGUUCAAGGAAGAUGUAAAGUUCAAGGAAACCUAGUGCUGCCAACUUUUCAGAUAUCUUUAACUAAAAGUGUCAAUGUUAUACAUAUUAUUUGGGAAUCAAAUUUUGAUUCCUUUAGAGUGUCAGUAUAGUUAGAAAAGACCCAGUAGAUGCUCUGCGUAGAAAGUCUAAAGCCAUGUGUAUUACAUUUUCC